UUCCGGUUGAUCCUGCCGGAGGCUACCGCUAUUGGAGUUCGAUUAAGCCAUGCGAGUCUAGAGGCCUAGCCUCGGCGUACCGCUCAGUAACACGUGGGUAACCUACCCUAUGCUGGGGAAUAAGCUCGGGAAACUGAGAAUAAUACCCCAUAGUCCACUACGCCUGGAACGGUGAGUGGAUCAAAGCUCCGGCGGCAUAGGAUGGGCCUGCGGCGUAUCAGGUUGUAGGGGGUGUAAUGUACCCUCUAGCCAUCCACGCGUACGGGUGUUGGGAGACAUUGCCCGGAGAUGGAUUCUGAGACACGAAUCCAGACCCUACGGGAUGCAGCAGGCGCGAAAACUUGGCAAUGCGAGAAAUCGUGACCAGGGAACUCCAAGUGGCAGGGGUAAGACCCUGUCUUUUUCCGACUCUAAAUAGGUCGGCGAAUAAGGGGUGGGUAAGGACGGUGCCAGCCGCCGCGGUAAUACCGGCGCCUCAAGUGGUAGUCGCUUUUAUUGGGCCUAAAACGUCCGUAGCCGGUCUGGUACAUUCGUGGGUAAAUCAACUCGCUUAACGAGUUGAAUUCUGCGAGGACGGCCAGACUUGGGACCGGGAGAGGUGUGGGGUACUCUCAGGGUAGGGGUAAAAUCCUGUCAUCCUGAGAGGACCACCUGUUGCGAAGGCUCCACACUAGAACGGAUCCGACGGUCAGGGACGAAGCCUAGGGGCACGAACCGGAUUAGAUACCCGGGUAGUCCUAGGUGUAAACGCUGUGGACUUGAUGUUGGGGACGCUCCGAGCGUUCUCAGUGUCGAAGCGAAGGUGAUAAGUCCACUGCCUGGGGAGUACGGUCGCAAGGCUGAAACUUAAAGGAAUUGGCGGGGGAGCACCGCAACCUGAGGAUUGUGCGGUUUAAUUGGAUUCAACGCCGGA
rnacentral:rRNA from 1 species